rnacentral:rRNA from 1 species
GUGGGGAAUUUUCCGCAAUGGGCGAAAGCCUGACGGAGCAAGACCGCGUGAGGGAGGAAGGCUCUUGGGUUGUAAACCUCUUUUCUUGGGGAAGAAAAAAAUGACGGUACCCAAGGAAUCAGCAUCGGCUAACUCCGUGCCAGCAGCCGCGGUAAUACGGAGGAUGCAAGCGUUAUCCGGAAUUAUUGGGCGUAAAGCGUCCGCAGGUGGCACUUCAAGUCUGCUGUCAAAGACAGUGGCUUAACUACUGAAAGGCAGUGGAAACUGAAGCGCUAGAGUGUCGUAGGGGUAGAGGGAAUUCCCGGUGUAGCGGUGAAAUGCGUAGAGAUCGGGAAGAACAUCGGUGGCGAAAGCGCUCUACUGGACGACAACUGACACUCAGGGACGAAAGCUAGGGGAGCGAAUGGGAUUAGAAACCCGGGUAGUCC